rnacentral:lncRNA from 1 species
GGCUGUCCUUCUCACCUGCAAGCAAUGGCAGGGCAGCACUGGAACUGCUUGUUUCCUCUGAAGAUGAUGAGGAGCUAUGGGAGCGCAGUGGCACUUGGAGGCUUAGAUGUUGUGCCUUUCUUUCUAUUUCUACACCUAUAGAUCUACAAUCCCAAUCUUUUCGUUUUACACCAUUUGUUUUACCAUCUAAAAUUUUAGGAAUCUCUUUAGUAAUUAUCCAUUCUCC